GCACGGGUGAGUAACACGUGAAUUAUCUACCUCCGAAUGGGGAAUAACUGAGAGAAAUCUUAGCUAAUACCGCAUAAUACCUACGGGUCAAAGCAGCAAUGCGUUUGGAGAGGAGUUCGCGGCCGAUUAGCUAGUUGGCGGGGUAAUGGCCCACCAAGGCGAUGAUCGGUAUCCGGCCUGAGAGGGCGCACGGACACACUGGAACUGAAACACGGUCCAGACUCCUACGGGAGGCAGCAGUGGGGAAUUUUGCGCAAUGGGGGAAACCCUGACGCAGCAACGCCGCGUGGAGGAUGAAGUAUCUCGGUACGUAAACUCCUUUCGAUGGGGAAGAUAAUGACGGUACCCAUAGAAUAAGCACCGGCUAACUCUGUGCCAGCAGCCGCGGUAAUACAGAGGGUGCAAGCGUUAAUCGGAAUUACUGGGCGUAAAGCGCGCGUAGGUGGUUCGUUAAGUUGAAUGUGAAAUCCCCGGGCUCAACCUGGGAACUGCAUCCAAAACUGGCGAGCUAGAGUAUGGUAGAGGGUGGUGGAAUUUCCUGUGUAGCGGUGAAAUGCGUAGAUAUAGGAAGGAACACCAGU
rnacentral:rRNA from 1 species